rnacentral:rRNA from 1 species
AAAUCGGCGCAGGGUGAGUCGGUUCCUAAGGCGAGGCCGAAAGGCGUAGUCGAUGGAAAGCAGGUCAAUAUUCCUGCACCAGGUAUCACUGCGAUGGGAUGACGGAGAAGGCUAGGUUAGGCGGUGCAUGCACCGUUCAAGGUCGUAGGGAUUGUCGGUUGGAAAAUCCGCCGGCAUUUAUCCAGAGAUCCGAGCACGAGGGAACUUCGGUUCCCGAGUUAGCUGAUGCCACGCUUCCAGGAAAAGUCUCUAAGCUUCAGGUGAUAACUGACCGUACCGUAAACCGACACUGGUGGGUGAGCAGACAAUCUGCUUAGGCGCUUGAGAGAACUCGGGUUAAGGAACUCUGCAAAUUGAUACCGUAACUUCGGGAGAAGGUAUUCCUUUGGUUGUUAGUGGACUUGCUCCACGAAGCAGUUAGAGGAGGCACGAAAUCGGGGGCUGCGACUGUUUACCAAAAACACAGGACUCUGCGAACACGAAAGUGGAUGUAUAGGGUCUGACGCUUGCCCGGUGCCGGAAGGUUAAUUGAUGGGGUCAGCCGCAAGGCGAAGCUCCUGAUCGAAGCCCCGGUAAACGGCGGCCGUAACGAUAACGGUCCUAAGGUAGCGAAAUUCCUUGUCGGGUAAGUUCCGACCUGCACGAAAAGCGUAACGCUGGCCCCACUGUCUCGACCCGAGACUCAGUGAAGUUGAAAUCGCUGUGAAGAUGCGGCGUAGCUGCGGAAAGACGGAAAGACCCCGUGAACCUUUACUACAGCUUUACACUGAACUUUGAACUUGUUUGUGUAGGAUAGGUGGGACCCUAUGAAGCGGAGGCGCUAGCUUUCGUGGAGGGAACGUUGAAAUACCACCCUGACAAUUUCGGAGUUCUAACCUCGGCCCGUUAUCCGGGCUGGGAACAAUGUAUGGUGGGUAGUUUGACUGGGGCGGUCUCCUCCCAAAGAGUAACGGAGGAGUGCAACGGUACGCUCAGCGCGGUCGGUCAUCGCGCACAGAGUGCAAUGGCACAAGCGUGCUUAACUGUGAGACGUACAUGUCGAGCAGGUGCGAAAGCAGGUCAUAGUGAUCCGGUGGUUCUGUAUGGAAGGGCCAUCGCUCAACGGAUAAAAGGUACUCCGGGGAUAACAGGCUUAUUCCUCCCAAGAGUCCACAUCGACGGAGGAGUUUGGCACCUCGAUGUCGGCUCUUCACAUCCUGGGGCUGUAGCAGGUCCCAAGGGUUCGGCUGUUCGCCGAUUAAAGUGGUACGCGAGCUGGGUUCAAAACGUCGUGAGACAGUUUGGUCCCUAUCUUCCGUAGCCGUUGGAGAUUUGAGGGUGAGCUGUCCUUAGUACGAGAGGACCGGGAUGGACGUACCUCUGGUGUUCCGGUUGUCACUACAGUGGCACUGCCGGGUAGCUAUGUACGGACGGGAUAACCGCUGAAAGCAUCUAAGCGGGAAGCCCCCCCCAAGAUUAGAUCUCCCUGGGAACUUGAUUCCCCUAAAGGGCCGUCGAAGACUACGACGUUGAUAGGCUGGGUGUGUACAGUCAGUAAUGACUUUAGCUAACCAGUACUAAUUGCCCGUGAGACUUGACCAA